UUAAUGGCUCAAAGAAAUUUU
rnacentral:piRNA from 1 species